rnacentral:hammerhead_ribozyme from 1 species
GUCCAGCUGACGAGUCACAUAGGACGAAACGCCCGUUCUGGAU